UCUCUGUGAUGAUGAAUCAAAGAUGACGAAUCAGGUCAUUAUCAAUUCUAUUGACAAUCCGAGGCAUUUGUCCGAGAUGA